UCAAACCAAUUGGUUAACGGGGGUACCCGGUACUUGAUUUUUACAGUAUCACAAUAUUGUGGUGAAAAAUACCAUGUUUUGACAACAAAUCAGCAUGGUGGGACUUAUCAUGCGCAUGGUUAUAAUGAGAACAAAUAGUAAUAUUUGUAGUCAUUUUCCAUUCUGAAUGAAACUGAACACGUUUUUUUUACUUCCACAAAUCAAACACGUCUAUUCACAGUUAAACAAACCAACAAACUGAAUUUACAUUUGUAAAAUCUAUGGGUACUACGAUCACGAUUUCUUUUGCGCUUCUACUUCCUCUCCUCUCUUUUCCUAAUUACUCCUAGUUACCAUCUUAACCCUUACGUUCCCUACAAUAUUAUUUUGUUUUAGGUGAUGAUCGCAAAAUGAAAAGCUUGAUGCAAGGGGCAAUACAGUGUUCAAAGCAGAGUGAAUCUGGAGCAGUUCAGAGUAACUCUGAGCAACUCUGAGGAAUUUGCGGUUCGAAAUUCCCACCUUUGAAUCAUCUUGAUUUUGGCAAAGCGGUUCGAAAAAAAAAGAAUAACAGACCAAACUCAGUUUGACAUAUCGAAACAGCGAUAAAUAAUGAAGAUGAAAGGUUUUGAAGUAAUUAUUGAUUGUAAAGAAAAAUUUCUAAGCCACAUACAGCAAUGGAUUCAGUGUGAAAAACAUGUUAUUUGCAACUAUCAAACGGUUAUCCUGCCGCAUCUACGCCUACGCGGUGACAAGCCUGAAGAUUAAAUCCAGCAAGGACAAUAUUCGCCCGAAAAAGACACAAGACCGAUCCUCAUGAAGGACAAAACUGCAAAUAAGAUGAAUUUCCAGUGCCGGGAAGAAAAAUGUAUGUUCGAAGGCGAAUGGGGCCGUUCACAAUCCGGGCUAGAAGCAGGAACUACUUCCUGUCGGAGACUUAAUUCAGUUUCGAUGUCGAGUCUGUAUUUGAAUAUUCCGUAUUUAUACCGAGAAUAAAACGUAAAUUGAAACAGUU